rnacentral:tRNA from 1 species
GGUGACUCAGUGGUAGAGUGCUUGCCUUGCAUGCAUGAGGCCCUGGGUUGGAUUCCUUAGCACCA